GAUGAAGAACGGUAGCGAAAUGCGAUAAGUAAUGUGAAUUGCAGAAUUCAGUGAAUCAUCGAAUCUUUGAACGCACAUUGCGCCCAUUAGUAUUCUAGUGGGCAUGCCUGUUCGAGCGUCAUUUCAACCCUUAAGCCUAGCUUAGUAUUGGGAAUCGACUUUACUGUCGUUCCUCAAAUUCAACGGCGGAUUUAUAGCAAUCUCUGAACGUAGUAAUUUUUUUCCUCGUUUUUGAAAUACUAUAAACCUCAGCCGCUAAACCCCCAAUUUUUCUAUGGUUGACCUCGGAUCAGGUAGGAAUACCCGCUGAACUUAAGCAUAUCAAUAAGCGGAGGA
rnacentral:misc_RNA from 1 species